GCGUUUCAGCUAUGUUGCAAUUACAAACAUCGAAAUUUUGCUUUUUGCCAUUAUGGGCACGUUCUUGCUUUUGCUACACUCGUGGACAAGAUGAAUCACAAGGACGGGUGUGGGAAAGUGGAGGAUCACGAAUCACGAUGAAGAUACCCGCAAAUGGGGUUGUGUGUUUUGAAGUUGAAUUGAAGAAUUCUUGAAGCACAAGGUGGAAAAAUUGAGUCUUUGAAAGUGGUAGCUUAUAGGGUAGGGUUAGUUGAUCGGGGGAAAUAAGGUCUUCAAAUUGGGACCCUUUGAGUUGAGUGCCAAAAGGGUGCUUAAUUCGUUUCCCUGUGUAAUUACUGUUGUAAUUAUCUGACCUUGUUUUACAAAUUUUAUUGAGAUGAAACAAGUGUUCUUUCUCCAAGUGCUAUCUUUCCAAGAUACUAUUUUGAUUUAUAAAUUGUUCAAGGUUAUCUACCGCGUGUGAAUAUUCUUUCUAUCCCUCAUCCAUUAUUAAACGGAUUGAGGGUUGAGACCACAAUUUUGGUUAUGCGAACGCGUAAUGAAGGAUUAGAGUACUUAUUUGUUGACAAAGAAUUGAGAGUUUGUCAUAGAAGAUCAUUCCCAAUUUCCCAUCGUAGACCUAUUAUUAAGUAUUAACCGCUAAGCUUUUGAAAUCUUAUUGUAUACUCAACAGUAAGCGCCGACUAUAAUUAUUAUCUAUCCAAGUCAUUAAGUAAGUCAAACAAAUGAAAAAUAAAAGGACUGACACCAUGAAUAUGAAAUUUUUAGAUUGUUUCACGAGGUUCAGAAUGCUGGCAGAGCAUACCAAGAAUUGGUUCUGCCUUUGAUACCCCUUAAAGAUCAUCAAUAUUGAUCCCAACACCUAUACAUUCAGCACAUUAUUUUAUUAGGUACCUACAUUAGAUGUUGCAUUUGAAAUAUGGGUUUAAUGGCUAAUGCAUUGUUAGUGUGGUUUGUGAUUUGGAUGAUAGUAGAUAACUAUUUUACACUGUAGAUGUAUAGUCUAUGUUCUCUUGAAAUAUUAGAUGCAUGUCCAGAUCCAGAAUUUGUGUGUCAGAUGAUUGAUGAGAUGUCAAGGUAACAGGGUUUUGGAUAAGUUAAUUGUACACAGUUGUAAAUAGUGUUAAGAUAAGAGUUUUGAUGAGUGUGGUUUGUUACUUUGCAUUAUAUUUUUCUGUAUCAGUUAAUUCAAGUUAGUUUGACGUUAACUCUAUCAUGUCCUUUUGUGGUUAACUCUGUAUCAGCUCCUCAAACAUCCAUAAACCAGUUAGCUGAUCCCAAGAACUCUGUAACUGAUUCAUCCUCGGUUCAACUUCAAGUCACAUCAAUUCAACUGUUGCAAAUUCCUUUCAUGGUCUCAGAUUGUGCAUACCACAUCAUUAGAGGAAAGAUGGAUUAUCUAACAAGUGGCACAAAGGAAUGCUGAGAACUUCAUGGUAAUGAUACUGCUGGUGAAUUUGUUAUCAAGAUCCACUAAUAGGGAGGUACGGAGGAAAAAUAUUAGUAGUUUUGUUGAUAUUACCGAAGAAAGAUCUCGAAAGCAGUUACAUCAAAAUCGGUACAAGAAAUCAUAAUUAGGUACCAAACAUGAAACAGCUAGUCUGUGUCAGUGUGCGCACAUUGAAAUGCGUUAAAAUAAGUUUGCUCUACGUAAACAGCUUGUAAAAUAUUUUAUUGUGUAAGAUAUGCAUUACUAUACAUUGAAAUGAAAGGUAUGAUUGAGAGUUGAGAUGACUCAUGAAUUGAUUCUUAUUUCUUAGGUGUUGAACAAAUGAACGUCAAACUAGGAUUUUUCGAAUGAAUCGUGGUGAUACAAAUUUUACUUAUGAUUAUGAACAAGGCUAUGCAGCUGGUCACAUGCGAGUAUACUCUUUGAGGAAGUCCAAAACCCCAAAACAUAGUCUUAUUAAAGUUUGUAAUUAAUAUAGAAAUUGAUCUCAUUCUCAUGUAUUACAUGAAGUAAAGGAAAGGUUAAAUUUAGUCACAAGACUGAUACAAUUUUUUCAUCUUCACAUACAAUGAACAACGCAAAAUCUAAAUUACUACUUGGUAUGGUAGAAGCAGUAGAAGCAGUAAUCAAGCGACAGGAUGCACUAUAACUUGAUCAACAACAGGGCCACAAAGAGAUCCGUAGUCAUGAAUUUUUGUAUGGUAGAAAGAGCUAUAGAAUGUGAUUCUGGUUCUGUUUUCAAUCGCUUUGAACUUGAAACUCACAGUCUUGAAGUGGCCUUUUCCCACAGAUUUGAAGGGAACUUUGAGGGUAUCUUUUGCUGCAAAUGCUUCAACCAUCAUUGAUCCGUGACAGCCAUUUCGCGCGUCUCCAAUUGUGAACUUCAUGUUGUAGACUUUGUUGGGAACUGUUCUUAGAAUUUGGGCAAUGACACUUUCCCUGCCUGCAAUAAGCUCUAUUGCUCCCUGACCAAAUGGGACAGUGAAAUGUUCUGAAUCUAUGAACUUCACAGCUUUGAGGGAUUCAAUCAUCCAACCAGGGAGUGGAGACAUACGAUCUUCUUGCUUGGGAGGGAGCAGAACACCGUGUGUAGAGUUGAAAAUAGGGAAUGGACCCUCCUCAAACCCAGGAUUUUUAACCAAAUUAGCUGCAAAAGACCAUAUUGCAUGUAGUCUUAUCAGAUACCAAAUAAGCCAAACACAACUCCCAAAUGCAAACUGAAAACAUAUAUAACUGAUAUUUCAUAUUUUAUAUAUAUUGUAUGGAGAAAUUAUUGCA